rnacentral:rRNA from 1 species
AUGGCAUGCAUAUUUACAGAGGCGGAAGGAAGGAAAAUUGCAAAAAAGGGGAAACUAGAAGAGACUACCAUCAGGUUCUUUUUUGAUUUUCCGGGGAGGCCUCGUUUGUGCCUCUUGGACGCUUGCUACUCCACGAGCGCGGCGAAGCAGCUCUCGGUGCGCGCGAGCGGGCCGCCGGCGCCGGGCCCGGCGCCCACGGCCGCGGCGGGGGCGACGGCGUCGCGCCUCGGGCUGCUCGGCGUGGAGCGGACCAGCCUCGGCGGCGACGGCGAGCCCAGUCUGCGGCGGAGCAGGAGCCGCAGGGCCGCGAUGAGCUCGUCGCCCGGCGACGGCGGAGCGGACGCGGACGCGCGGCGGCCCUCGCCGCACACGCAGGCGUGGCGGUCGAGCGCCUCCGCGGGCGACACCGGCGGCGAGGCCCUGCACAUCUCCUCGGCCACGGCGUCCCCGCAGAGCCCGCAGAUCCACCUCCCGCCGUACCGCGCGCGCACGCCGGCGAUGUACGGUGCGGUGCACUCCUCCGUGAACCCGCAGCACUCGCACGCCACCUCCUCCUCCUCUUGCUCCUCGCGCGCUUGCACCUCCGCCUCCAUGGUCAAGACCUUCAGCUCACUGAUUCCUAUCCCCGCCGCCUUCAGCCUUCUCCGCGCCGGUGGUUGCUGCUGCCGCUGCGGCUCCGACGAUGACCAGAGGAAAGAAAAGCCCCGUGUCCGUGAGCGCGUCCGGAGUCCGUAUUUAUCCCGCCCGUCGUCGUCGUGCGCGGGCGCGAGAUGCUGGCGUGUGGGCCCGGCGUACGUGCGACUGAAUUAUGAGGCCUGCCACGUGGUACCGGGGCAUUGGGCGCGGGCGCGGGGACCGGGACCGGGUCCGCCUGCCAGCUGUGGCCAAGUGGGCGGGCCGGGGUCCCGUCGUUGCUUGUGUUUUGGGUGGCGCCAAAGGCGUCCUGCCUGUCCCGCGGCUGCGACUAAUUAA